GACGAACGCUGGCGGCGUGCCUAAUACAUGCAAGUUGAGCGCUGAAGGUUGGUACUUGUCCCAACUGGAUGAGCAGCGAACGGGUGAGUAACGCGUGGGGAAUCUGCCUUUGAGCGGGGGACAACAUUUGGAAACGAAUGCCAAUACCGCAUAAAAACUUUAAACACAAGUUUUAAGUUUGAAAGAUGCAAUUGCAUCACUCAAAGAUGAUCCCGCGUUGUAUUAGCUAGUUGGUGAGGUAAAGGCUCACCAAGGCGAUGAUACAUAGCCGACCUGAGAGGGUGAUCGGCCACAUUGGGACUGAGACACGGCCCAAACUCCUACGGGAGGCAGCAGUAGGGAAUCUUCGGCAAUGGACGAAAGUCUGACCGAGCAACGCCGCGUGAGUGAAGAAGGGUGUCGGAUCGUAAAACUCUGUUGGUAGAGAAGAACGUUGGUGAGAGUGGAAAGCUCAUCAAGUGACGGUAACUACCCAGAAAGGGACGGCUAACUACGUG
rnacentral:rRNA from 1 species